AACAGAAAGUAGCUUGCUACUUUGCUGACGAGCGGCGGACGGGUGAGUAAUGCUUGGGAACAUGCCUUGAGGUGGGGGACAACAGUUGGAAACGACUGCUAAUACCGCAUAAUGUCUACGGACCAAAGGGGGCUUCGGCUCUCGCCUUUAGAUUGGCCCAAGUGGGAUUAGCUAGUUGGUGAGGUAAUGGCUCACCAAGGCGACGAUCCCUAGCUGGUUUGAGAGGAUGAUCAGCCACACUGGGACUGAGACACGGCCCAGACUCCUACGGGAGGCAGCAGUGGGGAAUAUUGCACAAUGGGCGCAAGCCUGAUGCAGCCAUGCCGCGUGUGUGAAGAAGGCCUUCGGGUUGUAAAGCACUUUCAGUCAGGAGGAAAGGUUAGUAGUUAAUACCUGCUAGCUGUGACGUUACUGACAGAAGAAGCACCGGCUAACUCCGUGCCAGCAGCCGCGGUAAUACGGAGGGUGCGAGCGUUAAUCGGAAUUACUGGGCGUAAAGCGUACGCAGGCGGUUUGUUAAGCGAGAUGUGAAAGCCCCGGGCUCAACCUGGGAACUGCAUUUCGAACUGGCAAACUAGAGUGUGAUAGAGGGUGGUAGAAUUUCAGGUGUAGCGGUGAAAUGCGUAGAGAUCUGAAGGAAUACCGAUGGCGAAGGCAGCCACCUGGGUCAACACUGACGCUCAUGUACGAAAGCGUGGGGAGCAAACGGGAUUAGAUACC
rnacentral:rRNA from 2 species